GUGCUCUUUUAAGGUUGACACAGUGCCUAGGAGGCUAACACAGAAGGGUAAAGUAAAUCUCCAUAAAACCCAGAGAAGAGAUGGUAAAACUGGAGUCACAGCU
ensembl:snoRNA